AUUCCAUUAAAUAUUAAUUUAUAUUAAAAAUUUAGAAAUUAAUAAAAUCCUUUUCCCAUCUAUUUCACACAUAAGCAAUUUCUUCUUGAACAGAAAUCAUAGCUGCUCUACUUACGUACGUACGGUAUCUUUCUUAACAUAAAAUUCAAUUGAAUUGAUAAGUGUAAUAAACGAAUGAAGUAAUCUCACGUUUUUUCUUUUUUUUUUUUCUAGUUAUCAGCAUAUUCUACAUUUGAAGAACUGUAAUGCCAUCAAAGUUUUCAUUUCAAAAUGAACAUGCAUGAUUAAUAUUGUAUGGAAUGAAAGAUAAAAAAUUUUAUCGCGAACAAAAAUGAAUAAAAAUCUAACGCUGAAUUGAUAAUCAAUUCAUCGAAUUUUAUUAUUCAUUCAAAUGCAUUAAUAUCAUUUUUCAAAAAAAUAAUUGCAAAUACAAUUCAUCAUAUUUCAUUUCUCUUAAUAAUCUCGAUAAGUUGGAAUAAUUCUCACAAAUGAAAUGGAAAUAAAAUAGAGCCCAUGCAUUUUGCCAACAAAUUAUUUUUUCUCGACUCGCUCAUUUCCCUUAAACAUUCAUUUUCUUGUAUACAAUUGAUUCUCUGCAGCCCAAAUCAAUUCCUUCUUUUCCUCCUCGAUCAUAAAGCGAAACGAUCUCAAAAAAAUUCCUGACGAACUGGCGAGCUCCGUCCACGUUUUCCUGGCAAACCACCGAAAAUAAUUCGAACUCCUCCUCCUCCUAGAACUCACCAUCACCUCGUAUAUCCGAUUUCGGGGUUGACACGCGUCAAGAGCACGCUUCGAAAAACUUUCUCGGCCUAUUACGUAACCCUUACAGGGCGUCAGCAAACACGAGCGACCGGUUCACGAAAUUCAUGCAUAAUAAUAAUCCAACGAUAUGGCCGGCCGUAGACGGCCUUCCCGGCUGUCGGCUCGAGGCUGCCCUGAUAUCUGUCCGCCGGAUUACUAUCAGAGCAUAAGAAUGGAAAGGGUAUGCUCGGCCGAGAGACGGAGAGGCGCCAUGACACGCGUGAUACGCGCGUAUAUAGGUUCGUUCUACCGUGACGGUGUUCGAUUAAAAUUCGAGAUACGAAACUGGUCCGCGGUCCCUGCGAACGUAAUAACUUAAACGUUAAUACGCGAAACCGUGGAAUGCGAGCCGUACCCUCGACCAGCGCUUGGACAGCCACGAUUUUACUGGCCUGGUGGUUGGAAAAAAUAGGGGAUCUAGCGAUGGGAUCAAGUAAAUUCCAAAUCCCAAAUAUCAUUGUUUGCAUUGUUUAAUAGCUGUAUUCCCCCGCUGACCUUUGAUAUUUCCUUGAAUAGAAUUAAUUAUUAAUUAAUAAUCUUUAAAUAAUUUUUCGAACUUGCGGAACUAAUGGAUACGAAAGAAUCUAAUUGUACAGCGAGCGUAAGAAUAUGUACCCCUCUUAUAAAAGAAAUAAGAAAUACCUCGAUACAGCUACGUUGGAUGAGUAAUACAACUAAACGGAAUUUUUAAGAUAAAAAUUUAAUUUUCUCAAUAUUUAUUUCAACUUGGCUAUUAUUAUGUGAGAAAUUUUAUUGAAAAUUAUUAAAUUAUAAAAUAUUUGUUAAAAAAAAUAUAACGACAAGCAGUUCACAUAUCGAUAAUCCGAUCAAAAUGACUCAUUUAUACAAAAGAAAGGAAACAUAAUCUAUAAAUACAUAA